AAGCAAGGCUAAAACCAACAAACAAUGGCGGAGUAAAUCGUGCAAAACCCUAGCAAAAAUUCUCAAUGCCACCCUCUGCAACUGUUGAUUCGCCUUCUCCUUCCUCUCAUGAUAACCAAGAAAACAAUCUGCAGCCGUUCUUUGUACUCCACAGAGCGUCGGCUCGGAAACCUGAGAGAAAAUGGGGAAAAGCCAGGAGGAGGAUAGAUUUAUCUCCAUUGUCAUAUAAGAAUGGUGAGAGUUGGGAGGCGGAUAAGGAGGGAGAGGGUGAUGAUCGGCGGUUUGAGCAUUUGCGGAUGGAAGCUUUCCAAUUUAUUUGGUCGAAGAUUGAGUCCACUAUCAAGGAUGUUUUGAGGAAUAUGAAUACCGAUGUAUUCAAUGAGAUAUAUCAGUGGGUUCGCGAGUCAUUCAAUGCAAUUAGAUCACGUGGGACACCUGCCUUGGCGGAAGCAAUUCGGUCAUACCCUGUUGUGACUGAUGCUGCCUCUAGACAAUUGUUUACCGGGUUGGUUUUGACCAAGAAUAUGGAGUUCGUUGAUGAUCUGCUGACAUUUGAAGAGCUUGGUUUGCAUUUGAUGUCUAAUGGAUGCCAAGUCGCUAACCUUUCAUCUUUGGAUUUCUCUGCCAAGAAUGGAAUUGGUGGUUGUCUCAGAAGUUUAUUGAGACAGUUUCUUAACAUCACCGUGGAUGCAGCUGAAAUAUCCAUCUUAGCAACAUGGUAUUAUCAACAAGGAAACAACAACAAUCCAGUGGUUGUGAUCAUUGAUGAUCUGGAGCGAUGUUGUGCUUCUGUUUUAUCUGAUUUCAUCUUUAUGUUGAGUGAAUGGGUGGCUAAGAUUCCAAUUAUCUUGAUAAUGGGUGUUACCACAACUCUUGAUGCCCCAAGAAACAUACUUCUUCCAAAGACAUUGCAGCGCUUGCGCCCUAGUAAGUUUGUUUUGGGAUCUCCAGCACAGAGAAUGGAUGCAAUUGUCGAGUCUGUUCUUGUGAAGCCAUGUUCUGGGUUUAGUGUUGGUUACAAGGUUGCAGUUUUCAUGAGAAACUACUUUCUUAGACACGAUGGAACCUUAACAUCUUUUAUUAGGGCUUUGAAGAUAUCCUGUAUCCAACAUUUCUCUACAGAGCCUCUUAGCUUCAUGCUCAGAUGGUCACUUUCUAAGGAAUACAGUGAGGGUUUAUUGGGUGAGAAUUGUGCACUUUUGCGAGAAGCGAUGCUUAAGAAAGCCUCUGAUCUUCCAUCUUGUAGGAAGGAGAUGCUUGAGCAGAAUGAGGAAGAUUUGGUUCAGAGGUUGUUGGAAUUGGAGAGAUCGCAAAAGUGCUGGGGUGCUGUAGUUCUGUGCCUACAUGAAGCUGGUAGGUAUAACAAAAUCCAGCUCUUAGACUUACUAUGUGAGGCACUCAAUCCAGAUGUGUACAUUUCAAGAGCUUCUCAGCAUCACUCAAGAAUACAUAAGGAUUUUGAAACAUCAUCCAGAGAUUGUUUUAUGCAUCAACUGCCACAUAGCUUGAACAAAACGGGUUUCAUCAGUCAGGCAAUACGCAAGGUGAGGGACCUUCCGGCUGUACUGCUGCAUCAGUUGAUUACAAGUUGGAAGAAACAUACUGAAGAUGUCUUUGAGAUCCAUGACAAAGUGAUUGAGCUACUGUCUUUGAAAUUUGAGGAUGGGAAGGAUUUGAAGAAAGAUGUGGCAGACAUAUCCAAGAGAUGUGACAGGAGACAUGCAUCUCAGCGCCAUCCAUUUUCAGAAAAGGCAUCAAGAGUAUUAAAUGAGAAAGCUGCUGCAUUUUUAGAAAUGAUGGUUAGGGAUUAUAUGCAGCCUGUUGAGUCCAUACCUUUCCAUGAAAUCGUCUGCUUCAGGAAUGUUGACAAACUUCAAUCUGCCUUAAUAGGAGACCCUAGAAAAAUAAUUCAACUUGAUCUCCUAGAGUUCCACAAAAUCCUGCACUGUAGCUGCUGCAGCAAGAACGGCAAUAUUCUGUUACCAUCUAUGCAUGAUACCUCGAUUAUGUAUACCCUCGCUCUGGAGCAUGGGGAUCUUAUCAAUCUGCAUGACUGGUAUAAAUCUUUCAAAUCAACUAUUCUUCGAGCAAAUACCAAACAGAAAAACAGGCUGAAGCUGUCACCAUCACCAAAGAAAAGAAAGGGUAUUAGUGAAUCACAAAGCAGGAGUGAAGCAUCGAUUCAAGCACAGUUCUGCAGGGCAGUUACAGAGCUCCAGAUAGCAGGGCUGCUUCGGAUGCCAAGCAAAAGACGCCCUGAUUACGUGCAGAGAGUAGCUUUUGGACUGUAACAACUGUAGCCAUAUAAGAGUUUGUACUAUUGGAAAAAAUGAUUGGACAAUUUGCAAAUCAGAUAUUUGCAAUAUUCAUCAUCUCAACUGAUCUGUGACUCCAUUGAGAUAGCCAGUUUCUGAAGCUUGGCCUCUGGGCAGGCUGAUUGACUUCUUGAGUUUCAGGUAUAAAUGUUGAGUCUAAUCCCAUUAGGGAUGCAAUCAAGCCCAUCGGUGGAGCUUGGUUAAAUCUUUUUACUUUUUUUUUUUCUCCCCUUUACACUUCAGUUAGGAGCAUGGAGUUUCACUCUCGGAUUUGGAAUUGUAAAAUUUGAUUGAACUCAAUAUAACUUAACAUAUGUUAACACUCUGUUCAUAUUCAUACAAAUCCAAAUCCAACACCAUGCAUUAGUGAUUUGUUUCUCAACCACUGAUUUGCUGGUUUUUGGUGUAAUCAGUAAGCUUCUUAAAUUUGAAGGAAAAAAAAAAAAAAUUCGUUUCA